CUUAAAUACACUGGAGAUUCUUCCAGGCACUGCCUAAUUUUCACAGAUCACCACCUUUCCAACCCUUACCUAUGACCACCCCAAACUCCUUUCUACAAGGUGCCUCACAAGAAACCUGUAAAGCAGUUAAUGCAAAUAUUAUUAUUCCCAAUUUACAGAGGAGUAAACAGAGACUCUUCAAGGCUAAGUGAGUCGCCCAGUGUCAAACAGCUCCUGAGCGUCUGAAGAGGGAUUUGAACUCGAAUUUCCCAACUCCAGCUCCAGUGCUCUCAUCUGGCAUAGCAGAUACAGCGAUCAUUUUGGCAUCAAGAAGACCGUUAUUCCAGUCCCACCUUGGACACUUUCCUAGCCAUAUGACCCUCAGCCCCAUUCUAAAUGGGUUGAUGAGUUGCGGUACGCCAAACUAAUUGCCCCUCACUAGCCUCUGUGCUAGGUUGAUCCUCAAAGGCCACACAGUCCAUCCGGAGGAUCCACCUGCUAAGCCUUUCCAAUCAACUUCUGAGAACCCAGGAUCACCUCCAGGCCAUGAUGAGGCAUCCAAGAAAGUGAGCUGAAUUUGAGUAAGCGGAUCCAGAGAAGAAAUCAGAUUUGAUGGGAUAAACUGCCAGUGGGGCUUUGAUAAAUCAGAAAGGUAUCAGAAUAAGGAAGAAGUGCAUCUGCUGAUGGUGGUCAUCCUGCAGGCUCAGGCCCUCUAAUGGACCCUCUCCCAGACUCUCUGGGAUGCUGCUUACUCUAGGAGCGCCUCCUCCUUCCCACCCCUGGAGGCCCCCGCUCCAGACCGGAGAUUCAGGGUCACUGAAGCUGGGGAAGGGGAAAACCAACUGGACAUUUUCCCAUUUAGCAUCACUGCUGCAUCUUAUGGCUUUUUCUGUCUUCCUCCUUCUUGGUCUCUGGGCAGGAUGUGACACCGUUGAUUACCCUUGCCCUGACUGCAGCCUCUGUCUUUUUCUUUCUGACAACACUUUCCGUCAGGCCCCUCCUCCUCAGUCUCUUUUGCCACCUGUGAUUUGGCCCCUGACCAUGGGGAUUCCCAAGGCCCUAUCACAGGCCCUCAUCUUUUCUCUCUCUACAGCCUUUCUUUUGAUGACAUCAUCAGUUCCCAUGAGUUCAAUCACCAUAUGUACAGAUAACUUUCAGAUCAAUAUAUGUAUUCUUAGUCUCCUGAGCUCUCAUCCCAGGUCAUCAACUGUCUAUUGGAUAUUUCCAAGUGGAUAUCCUAUAGAAAUUUCAAAUUCAGCCUGUUCAAAACAAGAAUUGAUUAUUCUUUCCCCAAACCCAGCUUCUCAAUUUCCCUAUUCCUACUGAAAUCUCUACCAUCCUUCCAGUCAUCCAGGGUCACAACCUUGGGUCACUCUUGACUCUCUCUCUCUCUCUCUGCCUGUGUCUUUCCUUCUCUCUGUCUCUGUCUCUUCUCCCACAUCCAUUGU